rnacentral:rRNA from 1 species
ACGCUGGCGGCGUGCCUAAUCAUGCAAGUCGAGCGGACAGAUGGGAGCUUGCUCCCUGAUGUUAGCGGCGGACGGGUGAGUAACACGUGGGUAACCUGCCUGUAAGACUGGGAUAACUCCGGGAAACCGGGGCUAAUACCGGAUGCUUGUUUGAACCGCAUGGUUCAAACAUAAAAGGUGGCUUCGGCUACCACUUACAGAUGGACCCGCGGCGCAUUAGCUAGUUGGUGAGGUAAUGGCUCACCAAGGCRACGAUGCGUAGCCGACCUGAGAGGGUGAUCGGCCACACUGGGACUGAGACACGGCCCAGACUCCUACGGGAGGCAGCAGUAGGGAAUCUUCCGCAAUGGACGAAAGUCUGACGGAGCAACGCCGCGUGAGUGAUGAAGGUUUUCGGAUCGUAAAACUCUGUUGUUBGGGAAGAACAAGUUCCCGUUACAAAUAGGGCGGUACCU